AAUCAACGCUGGCGGCGUGCCUAACACAUGCAAGUCGAACGCGAAAGUCCCGCAAGGGAUUAGUAGAGUGGCAAACGGGUGAGUAACACGUGGGUGACCUGCCUUCGAGUGGGGGAUAACGUCCCGAAAGGGACGCUAAUACCGCAUGACAUCCUGUCUUUUAACAGGCGGAGAUCAAAGCUGGGGAUCGCAAGACCUAGCGCUUGAAGAGGGGCCCGCGUCUGAUUAGCUAGNGGUGAGGUAACGGCUCACCAAGGCGACGAUCAGUAUCCGGCCUGAGAGGGCGGACGGACACACUGGGACUGAGACACGGCCCAGACUCCUACGGGAGGCAGCAGUGGGGAAUUGUUCG
rnacentral:rRNA from 1 species